rnacentral:rRNA from 1 species
GAGACAUCAGGUCAGGCGGGGCUAC